rnacentral:rRNA from 1 species
GCUCAAAUUUGAAAUCUCACUGGUUUUCCAGUGCGAAUUGUAGUUUAGAGAAGUGUUUUCGGGGGCAGCUCGGGUAUAAGUCCUUUGGAAAGAGGCGUCAUAGAGGGUGAGAAUCCCGUAUAUGAUCCGAUGUCUGCUCCUAUGUGAUACACUUUCCAAGAGUCAGGUAGUUUGGGAUUGCUGCCUAAAAUGGGUGGUAAAUACCAUCUAAAGCUAAAUAUUGGCGAGAGACCGAUAGCGAACAAGUACCGUGAGGGAAAGAUGAAAAGAACUUUGAAAAGAGAGUUAAACAGUACGUGAAAUUGCCAAAAGGGAAACGCUUGGAACCAGUAUUGUGUGCAGGUAAUCAGCUCUGCUUACCGAAAGGGACAGCAUAGUGCACUUGUCUGCAUACAGGUCAACAUCAGUUUGAAUCAGGGUAAAAAGCCGUAGGAAGGUGACUUAGAUUCGUCUGAGUGUUAUAGCCUACGGUCAUGCCCUGGUUUGGACUGAGGUCUGCAGCGUUAUUUGGGUUGCUGGUUGCCUUCUGAACUUCACUUGCAGACAGCAUGCUGACUGGGAGUCAAUUGUAGGGAGCUCAGCUAGUGUAUCACACCAACGCUUAGGAUGUUGACGAAAUGGUUCCAAACGACCCGUCUUGAAACACGGACCAAGGAGUCUAACAUAUAUGCGAGUAUUUGGGUGGCAAACCCUUAUGCGUAAUGAAAGUGAAUUUAAGUGGGAUCUUCGGUGCACCAUUGACCGGUCCGGAUAUUUUUGAUGGACCUGAGUAAGAGCAUAUCUGUUGGGACCCGAAAGAUGGUGAACUAUGCCUGAAUAGGGUGAAGCCAGAGGAAACUCUGGUGGAGGCUCGUAGCGAUUCUGACGUGCAAAUCGAUCGUCAAAUUUGGGU